UUUAAAUGGCCGCAGUAUACUAACUGUGCAAAGGUAGCAUAAUCAUUAGUCUUUUAAUUGAAGGCUGGUAUGAAUGGUUGGACGAGAUAUUAACUGUUUCAUAUAAAUUUAUAUUAGAAUUUUAUUUUUUAGUCAAAAAGCUAAAAUAAAUUUAAAAGACGAGAAGACCCUAUAAAUCUUUAUAUUUAAAUUAUUAUAAUUUUAUAGAUUUUUUUUAUUAUAAUAAUUAAUAAUAUUUUAUUGGGGUGAUAUUAAAAUUUAAUAAACUUUUAAUUUUUAAAUUCAUUAAUAUAUGAUAAAUUGAUCCGUUAUUAACGAUUAUAAAAUUAAGUUACUUUAGGGAUAACAGCGUAAUUUUUUUGGAGAGUUCAUAUCGAUAAAAAAGAUUGCGACCUCGAUGUUGGAUUAAGAUAUAAUUUUAGGUGUAGCCGCUUAAAUUUUAAGUCUGUUCGACUUUUAAUUUCU
rnacentral:rRNA from 1 species